rnacentral:rRNA from 1 species
AGUCGAACGGCAGCACGGGGCAACCUGGUGGCGAGUGGCGAACGGGUGAGUAAUAUAUCGGAACGUACCCUGGAGUGGGGGAUAACGUAGCGAAAGUUACGCUAAUACCGCAUACGAUCUAAGGAUGAAAGUGGGGGAUUCGCAAGAACCUCAUGCUCCUGGAGCGGCCGAUAUCUGAUUAGCUAGUUGGUGAGGUAAAGGCUCACCAAGGCUUCGAUCAGUAGCUGGUCUGAGAGGACGACCAGCCACACUGGAACUGAGACACGGUCCAGACUCCUACGGGAGGCAGCAGUGGGGAAUUUUGGACAAUGGGCGCAAGCCUGAUCCAGCAAUGCCGCGUGAGUGAAGAAGGCCUUCGGGUUGUAAAGCUCUUUUGUCAGGGAAGAAACGGUGAGAGCUAAUAUCUCUUGCUAAUGACGGUACCUGAAGAAUAAGCACCGGCUAACUACGUGCCAGCAGCCGCGGUAAUACGUAGGGUGCAAGCGUUAAUCGGAAUUACUGGGCGUAAAGCGUGCGCAGGCGGUUUUGUAAGUUUGUCGUGAAAGCCCCGGGCUCAACCUGGGAAUUGCGAUGAAGACUGCAAGGCUUGAAUCUGGCAGAGGGGGGUAGAAUUCCACGUGUAGCAGUGAAAUGCGUAGAGAUGUGGAGGAACACCGAUGGCGAAGGCAGCCCCCUGGGUCAAGAUUGACGCUCAUGCACGAAAGCGUGGGGAGCAAACAGGAUUAGAUACCCUGGUAGUCCACGCCCUAAACGAUGUCUACUAGUUGUCGGGUUUUAAUUAACUUGGUAACGCAGCUAACGCGUGAAGUAGACCGCCUGGGGAGUACGGUCGCAAGAUUAAAACUCAAAGGAAUUGAC